GCCUUCGUAGUGUAGUGGUCAGCAUGCUGAACGCGUAACCGUGAGAUCCAUGGUUCGAUUCCCAGCGAAGGCG
rnacentral:tRNA from 1 species